GGCCAGUUAGCUCAGUUGGUUGGAGUGCGGUGCUGACAACACCAAGGUCGUGGAUUCAAUCCCCGUUUGGUCC
rnacentral:tRNA from 1 species